rnacentral:rRNA from 1 species
GCUCCCGGAUGUUAGCGGCGGACGGGUGAGUAACACGUGGGUAACCUGCCUGUAAGACUGGGAUAACUCCGGGAAACCGGAGCUAAUACCGGAUAGUUCCUUGAACCGCAUGGUUCAAGGAUGAAAGACGGUUUCGGCUGUCACUUACAGAUGGACCCGCGGCGCAUUAGCUAGUUGGUGAGGUAACGGCUCACCAAGGCGACGAUGCGUAGCCGACCUGAGAGGGUGAUCGGCCACACUGGGACUGAGACACGGCCCAGACUCCUACGGGAGGCAGCAGUAGGGAAUCUUCCGCAAUGGACGAAAGUCUGACGGAGCAACGCCGCGUGAGUGAUGAAGGUUUUCGGAUCGUAAAGCUCUGUUGUUAGGGAAGAACAAGUGCAAGAGUAACUGCUUGCACCUUGACGGUACCUAACCAGAAAGCCACGGCUAACUACGUGCCAGCAGCCGCGGUAAUACGUAGGUGGCAAGCGUUGUCCGGAAUUAU